rnacentral:rRNA from 1 species
UACGGAGGGUGCAAGCGUUAUCCGGAUUUACUGGGUUUAAAGGGUGCGUAGGUGGAUAAUUAAGUCAGUGGUGAAAUCUUCAGGCUUAACCUGGAAACUGCCAUUGAUACUAUUUAUCUUGAAUACUUUGGAGGUAAGCGGAAUAUGUCAUGUAGCGGUGAAAUGCUUAGAUAUGACAUAGAACACCAAUUGCGAAGGCAGCUUACUACGGAUCGAUUGACACUGAGGCACGAAAGCGUGGGGAUCAAACAGG